rfam:Ignavibacteria bacterium GWF2_33_9 gwf2_scaffold_6031, whole genome shotgun sequence.
GGUGUCUUAGCCAAGUGGUUAGGCAACGGUCUGCAAAACCGUGAACGCCGGUUCGAAUCCGGCAGACACCU